rnacentral:rRNA from 1 species
GAUGAACGCUGGCGGCGUGCUUAACACAUGCAAGUCGAACGGAAAGGCCCAAGCUUGCUUGGGUACUCGAGUGGCGAACGGGUGAGUAACACGUGGGUGAUCUGCCCUGCACUUCGGGAUAAGCCUGGGAAACUGGGUCUAAUACCGGAUAGGACCACAUUUUGGAUGGUGUGGUGGAAAGUUUUUCGGUGUGGGAUGAGCUCGCGGCCUAUCAGCUUGUUGGUGGGGUAAUGGCCUACCAAGGCGUCGACGGGUAGCCGGCCUGAGAGGGUGUACGGCCACAUUGGGACUGAGAUACGGCCCAGACUCCUACGGGAGGCAGCAGUGGGGAAUAUUGCACAAGGGGCGCAAGCCUGAUGCAGCGACGCCGCGUGGGGGAUGACGGCCUUCGGGUUGUAAACUCCUUUCGCUAGGGACGAAGCGUUAUGUGACGGUACCUGGAGAAGAAGCACCGGCUAACUACGUG